rnacentral:rRNA from 1 species
UACGUAGGGGGCAAGCGUUGUCCGGAUUUAUUGGGCGUAAAGAGCGUGUAGGCGGCUAGAUAGGUCCGUUGUGAAAACUCGAGCUCAACCUCGAGACGCCGGUGGAAACCAUCUAGCUAGAGUCCGGAAGAGGAGAGUGGAAUUCCUGGAUGUAGCGGUGAAAUGCGCAGAUAUCAGGAAGAACACCCGUGGCGAAGGCGGCUCUCUGGGACGUGACUGACGCUGAGACGCGAAAGCGUGGGGAGCGAACAGG